rnacentral:rRNA from 1 species
AUGAACGCUGGCGGCGUGCCUAAUACAUGCAAGUCGAGCGAACAGAUGAGGAGCUUGCUCCUCUGACGUUAGCGGCGGACGGGUGAGUAACACGUGGAUAACCUACCUAUAAGACUGGGAUAACUUCGGGAAACCGGAGCUAAUACCGGAUAAUAUAUUGAACCGCAUGGUUCAAUAGUGAAAGACGGUUUUGCUGUCACUUAUAGAUGGAUCCGCGCCGCAUUAGCUAGUUGGUAAGGUAACGGCUUACCAAGGCGACGAUGCGUAGCCGACCUGAGAGGGUGAUCGGCCACACUGGAACUGAGACACGGUCCAGACUCCUACGGGAGGCGGCAGUAGGGAAUCUUCCGCAAUGGGCGAAAGCCUGACGGAGCAACGCCGCGUGAGUGAUGAAGGUCUUCGGAUCGUAAAACUCUGUUAUUAGGGACGAACAAAUGUGUAAGUAACUAUGCACGUCUUGACGGUACCUAAUCAGAAAGCCACGGCUAACUACGUG